GUGUGUGGUACCCUACUCUGGAGAGCAGCAAUCACAUACAAUUAAGUAUGAUUGAAGCCUCUGGGAGUAGAGUAAUGCAUGA
rnacentral:pre_miRNA from 1 species